UACACUAGCUGGCCGCUUUGGGUGUCUGACACUCCUUGGAGGGGGGCAGGGUUUUGGGAUUUUUUCUCAAUGAAUGAGCUGUGAUUGACACGAGUAUUUAAAUGGGGUAGGACAUGGCCGCGGUUUCCUAAUCUGCUGCUUCCCGGAAGCAAGGUGCGCACCGAUCAGGGGGAGCUCGCUUGGGAAGAUUGUUUGUCCGCUUACCAUGCUCACCGGUUCGUUUGUUUGAGAGCUAGACAGAAGACGGGCCGCGAUCAGCUGGGGAAGAAAAAAGACGCACUGUUUGGAAAAUGAUCCAGUGGGUUCACGCAUUGCUACUAGCCGCUGUUUGUUUUACUUUUGUUACUGUUGUUUAGUUUGUUUUGUUUAUUUGCGCUCUGCUCAAGGGUUGUAUGUGUCAGUACGUAUGGUUAUUCUUUUUUUUUGUUUUGCGCAGCUAGUCGGCUGCGCAGGUAGAGGAGGGGGGUACAAUUGAAUCACGUUCUCAACGGUGUCUUACUUGAGCGCUCUGGGAUAACUAUAGGCUGCGCUAGAGACUGUGAUAAUUGCAGCCACUAGAUGGUGUACGUCUAUUUAUAGUCUGUCUUAUUGUGUAAGUGUGUGUCAUUUUACCUUAACAAAAGAAAGAAAAUGAACUUUACAAAUAUUUAUAAAUAA